UCACGCUCAAUUCUAGGGUCAAGUGUAUGGAAUACUUUGUUAAAUAUAUAGGAGCUGACACAAGCACACAAGGCAUCAACCGUUGUUGAAAUCUCACGAUGCUGUGCAAACUUCUGGUACUCUCUCUGCUAGUGGCGACGGUGGCUCUGACUGCUUCCGCAGCACCUGAAAAACGCUAUACAUGCUAUACGCGUUGCUCAAGCGAAUGUCCGUAUGGCGGUUGGUGCGAUAGUAAUGAUGAUUGCCGCUGCCUGGCAUAUAUUAACGGCUGACAUAUUCGAGGUAUCCGAAACGACAACAACCCAAUGAUUGGCGGUUGAUGGGACUUUUAGUUGAAAAAUUGUUUCAAUAAUAAUGUAAAAACAAAACAACAAAACAGCUAAAUAUAUUCAUUAAAAUGUG